AGAGCUGGGAUCGAGCGCGCCGGCCCCGCUGGCCUUGGGUGCAGCUCCGGGGCAGCUCCGCGGGAGAGCAGGCGCCCACGCCAUAGGCCCUCACCUGGGUCUCUCUUCAGGGAUGACAUCAUCUGUUCACCUCCUUGUCUUCAAGGACCACCUCCUCCUGAAGCCAAGCUGCUGCCGAGGUACCCGCUGCUCAUCUCCACCUUCUGGGGCACUAGGAGCACAGAUCCCUGGAUCCCACCAGCACACAGAGCGGCCACCUGUAGAGCCCCAGGACCAGCAGCAGACCCCCAGGACAGGACUGCAAGAAGGAAGAGGAUCAGAACUGACCAGCCAGCUGUUCCUCCUGGCUAAAGACUUAAACCAAUGCCCUAGUGAGGGGGCACUGGUCGCCCCCACCCUUUGCUGUGCUCCCACCUCCACUCUCCAAGCUUCUCGAAAGGCCUGUCUCCACUUGCUAUCUUCCUUCCUCACCUCCAAUUCCUCUUCAGCCCACUACUUCCUGACUUGCUCUGCUCCAUCCAACGGCUCCCAGUAAGGUCGGUAGUGGAGGCUCAGGAGAUUACAAGAAACCUACUGAGGUCGAGUGGAAGGUGAGGGCCGGAGCGGCCGGGCCGCAGUCCUGGAGGUGACUUUCUACUUUUGCUGCCCUUCUCUCCACUUCAUCUGCUCGCUCACUCUGCCCACCUCUGUCUCUGUCACCCAGUUCCUAGCCUGGCCCUUGGGGGGUGCCCUAGGCCAACCCCACCCCUCCUCUGGGUGUCCCAGCACCAGCCUGGCACAGAGUGGGGCUCAGUAAGAGUAUGUGGGAUGUAAGCUUGGGCAGGUGAGUGAAUGCGAGGGCUCGGCUGCCCCCUUGCCACCAGCCAGGCGGGUCUCGGGAGCAGGCUGAGGCCAUGAGGGUGGGGGGCGGGCCCCUCUUACUGGAGGGCAGUGGGCAGCUCCCCGAAGCCCUGCGAAUGAGCCUGCGGCCGCGCCCUACAUUCACCCACGCGUCCAUUCCAUCAUCCAACAGUUGAUCCUAACUGAGCAUUCCCACGGCCUGACCUGGGCUUGGCACCUGCCCCUAGUGUGUCCUCUGCCAGCCUCUGCUCCUGGGGGUGAGGGUGGGCUGGUCCCAGGUGCUGCAGCCCUGGCUUCCACGCCAGAGGGCGGGCAGGAGGUGCAAGGCGGGCCUGGGUUUCCUCCAUCUCUGACUUCCCGUCACACCCUGGAGGAGUGCCCAAACCUGCCCAACCCAGGCUCUGCCACUCAGUUUCCUCAGCUGAGUCCCGAGGGCAGCUUGGGACCCCUGGCCCUGAAGCUCUCGGGACUGACAUGGGCCCAUGGGGACAGCCGUGGGUGUGUCCUGGCCUUGGCACACAGGUCUCCCUCUUGAGUUGGGUCUGCCCUCACCAUGGUCCCUCCUCCCAGGGGGCUCCACCCGGCUCCUCUGUCCCCUGGUCCCCACUAGGGCCUGUGUCCCAUGCAGACACCUAUGGCUGGGAACCUCCAGGAGCGGCUGCAGGUCCCUCUGCUGGCUGCCUACCUGCUGUGUGCCACCCCAGCUCUGGCGGCCAGGCAGUGACCUGACCACACAGCACAGGGCUUUCUCUGCCUCUUGCCCAGCCCCGGUCUGCUCACUUCCUCCUUCCCUGCCUGAAUCUUGGGCUCCUGACCCUUCCCCUCUCUCUGCCUGAAUUUCAGGCUCCUGACCCUUGGGGCCUCAGCUGGCCUGUUCUCUGCCCAGUGGGUUGGUUUUCCUUGCCAAGCUCACACCUGUGGUUCCCUGACCCUGCCCAGCCAAGGACCGCCCCUCCCAGUGCUGCCCGUUUCCGGCAGGUUCCAGCACUGUGGGACAGCCGUCUGAUACUGCUAUCUCUGUCGACCGCUGCAGGUGCCUCUCCCUGGGCUGUAGCCAGACUCGUGUCCCAUCUGUCUGGCCCCAGAGAGCCUCGCCAGCGUGCCCUGGGCUGGCCUCGUCCAGGGCACCCAGGCCAUGAUCUGGCUGGGUCGACUGAAGAGCUGCAGAGGGACGCGGCAGAGACCCCUCCCACAAGGCCCCCACUGAAUUGCCCCUUCUUGCUGAUGAGCUGCUCAGCUCCUCCCUGGUUCUGGCUGAAGCCAUCGCCCGGACGCCUCCCUGGAAAGGACCUUGGACGUGGGACCCAGCCCCCUCCAGCUCUAAAUCCCUCCACAGCCACGGGACAGGCUGGACCCCAAGACUGGAGCCUGGGCCACCCCCAGACCACCCUCUGAUUGAUGGACUUCGCUGGCUUGGGUCGCGAGCCCUGAGACUCGGGGAACCAUGGAGCCUUCAGCGCCGGCUGGGGGUCUGGCUGGGGCACCUACCUCACAGGGCUGUUGUGAGGGUAUCACGAUGCUGUUCCCAAGCGCUGGGCUUGGCAACUCCGUUGUGCUCUCAAUAAAUGUGUUUCCUGUCUUAA